rnacentral:rRNA from 1 species
UACGGAGGGUGCAAGCGUUAUCCGGAGUCACUGGGUUUAAAGGGUGCGUAGGCGGGCAGGUAAGUCAGUGGUGAAAUCUCCGAGCUUAACUCGGAAACUGCCAUUGAUACUAUUUGUCUUGAAUAUUGUGGAGGUAAGCGGAAUAUGUCAUGUAGCGGUGAAAUGCUUAGAUAUGACAUAGAACACCAAUUGCGAAGGCAGCUUACUACACAAUGAUUGACGCUGAGGCACGAAAGCGUGGGGAGCAAACAGG